rnacentral:rRNA from 1 species
GUAUGACUCUCGGCAACGGAUAUCUCGGCUCUCGCAUCGAUGAAGAACGUAGCGAAAUGCGAUACUUGGUGUGAAUUGCAGAAUCCCGUGAACCAUCGAGUCUUUGAACGCAAGUUGCGCCCGAGGCCAUUCGGUCGAGGGCACGCCUGCCUGGGCGUCACG